rnacentral:rRNA from 1 species
GGUGCUGCAUGGCUGUCGUCAGCUCGUGUCGUGAGAUAUUGGGUUAAGUCCGUAACGAGCGCAACCCUUGUCCUUAGUUACCAGCACGUUAUGGUGGGCGACUCUAAGGAGACUGCCGGUGACAAACCGGAGGAAGGUGGGGAUGACGUCAAGUCAUCAUGGCCCUUACGGCCUGGGCUACACACGUGCUACAAUGGUCGGUACAAAGGGUUGCCAAGCCGCGAGGUGGAGCUAAUCCCAUAAAACCGAUCGUAGUCCGGAUCGCAGUCUGCAACUCGACUGCGUGAAGUCGGAAUCGCUAGUAAUCGUGAAUCAGAAUGUCACGGUGAAUACGUUCCCGGGCCUU